GAAAGUGGUGUGUUGAAGUCUCCCACUAUUAUUGUGUGAGGUGCAAUGUAUGCUUUGAGCUUUACUAAAGUGUCUCUAAUGAAUGUGGCUGCCCUUGCAUUUGGUGCGUAGAUAUUCAGAAUUGAGAGUUCCUCUUGGAGGAUUUUACCUUUGAUGAGUAUGAAGUGUCCCUCCUUGUCUUUUUUGAUAACUUUGGGUUGGAAGUCGAUUUUAUCCGAUAUUAAAAUGGCUACUCCAGCUUGUUUCUUCAGUCCAUUUGCUUGGAAAAUUGUUUUCCAGCCUUUCACUCUGAGGUAGUGUCUGUCUUUUUCCCUGAGAUGGGUUUCCUGUAAGCAGCAGAAUGUUGGGUCUUGUUUGUGUAGCCAGUUUGUUAGUCUAUGUCUUUUUAUUGGCGAGUUGAGACCAUUGAUGUUAAGAGAUAUUAAGGAAAAGUAAUUGUUGCUUCCUGUUAUUUUAGUUGUUAAAGGUGGCAUUCUGUUCUUGUGGCUGUCUUCUUUUAGGUUUGUUGAGGGAUUACCUUCUUGUUUUUUCUAGGGCGUUGUUCCCGUUCUUGUAUUGGUUUUUUUCUGUUAUUAUCCUUUGAAGGGCUGGAUUCGUGGAGAGAUAAUGCGUGAAUUUGGUUUUGUCGUGGAAUACUUUGGUUUCUCCCUCUAUGAUAAUUGAGA
rnacentral:lncRNA from 1 species